AAGACCCCACUGCCCAGCUGGGAGCGGGAGGACGGCCCGUUUGGCUGGCAGGACAAUCGGGUGUUUUAAAUCUCGGGCCGGGUCCUGGGUGGAAUCGCCACAACAUGCACAACGAUUGGAGGAAAGCUGAGUCCGUCACGUGACGCUCACCGGGUGCGACGCCAGUCACGUGGGCGCCGCGCGGGUCACUUGCACAGAGGCCCUCAGCCAUUCCACCACUUUCAGAAGAAGCUUAUGUGCUGAAGCAAAGGAGAAAUGCCGAUUGCUGUAUCACAGAGACAAUAAUGGUGACACCUACAGAUGAAGCCUGUGCAGGUCAGACACAAUGUUCAGCACAUGGUGUUGCAAAUUGGAGACUGGUAUCCAGAUGUAUGAAGGACUGAAAAACUCAAUAACAGAACAAAACAGCAAAAACUGGAAACUUCACAGUAGAUGACAUAUGAAGCCAGACACAAAAGAGUACAUACUGUAUGAUUCCAUUUUUAUGAAAUUCUAGGAUUUGGACAGAGUGAAGCUCCAGGAUUCCCAGGACCUGUGACCACUCUGAGCCCCAGGAACAAACCAGGGUAUGUCUUGUGGGGUCAUCACAGGCACCCCCAUGGCCCUGCUCUUUGUGUGACUACCUCAUCUGGGACCACAUUUCCAAAGGGUGUCGAAUCUGGAAAUCUGGAAUGAUCCAGAGAGGCUAGAAGGGGACAGGGUGUGUGUGUGUGUGUGUGUGUGUGUGUGUGUGUGUGUGUGUCACUGUCGCCAUGGAGCUUAUGUCUCUCUCCUUUUAAAACAUCAACUCCAGCCCUAGCCGGAUUGGCUCAGUGGAUAGAACAUCAGCCUGCGGAUUGAAGGGUCCAAUUCUGGUCAAGGGCACAUGCCCUGGGACUCAAUCCCCAAUAGGGGGUGUGCAGGAAGCAUCCGAUCAAUGAUUCUCUCUCAUCAUUGAUGUUUCUAUCUCUCUCUCCCUUUCCCUUCCUCUCUGAAAUCAAUUAAAAUAUAUUUUAAAAAUAAAAUAAACAUCAACCCCACCAGG